GACUAUUAAAACAUGUUUAUCUUCAAAGAAUGGCCUUGGUUUCUGUGGGCACUGUCUCCUCAUGGAAGGCAGCCUUUGUCACUUCAAACACCGCAAGUGUUCUUUAAAAAAAAUUAUAUCAACCUUUCAAUUAAAAUGCAACAUGUCUGCAACCUGGCAUCUAGAGAGGAGCAGUAAGAGGACCUUUUGCUUGAAUAAUUUGUAUCCACACUACAGAGUGGGUAAUGAGCAGAUUAUGUAAAAACAAUUCUGCUUCACUUCAGAAACAGCCUCCUCAACUCAUUUUUUCUCAACAAACUUAUUUUUCCAGCAGAAGAAUCCCAGGCUUCUUAGAGAACCCAGUGACUUUUGGCACCUUAAAUCAGUGAAAUCAUCAUGUUUUCUUCUGCCGUAUCCAUAGUGCAAACAAAGAGGAGGCAAAGCUAGACUCAUUCCUGAAGGAACCCAAGAAAUUCCUCCUUUCUCUCUCUGGAAUGAAAUGAAUUCUCUAGACCAUCAGUUCUAACCUUCAGAAAACCAAACCUGUUUGUGAGAUCUCCUUCAAAUACUACUGUAGACCCCAGUGUUUAUUCAUCAAAUUUUUGAAUAUUUGUUUUAUUUGGAAUCAAUUUAUUUGUAAGUUUAGUAUUUGUAUUACUAUAAGGGAGAAAUGUUUAAAUCUGUCUAUGCCAUAUGUGCCUCUAGCUUAUUGCCCAAUUAAUUGCAGCCUCAGGCUAAACUUUGGUUUCUGUCUUUAAUUUUUAUCAGAACAAAUAUAAGUCAUCUCAAAACAUCUGCUUUUAUUGUAGAGACUCAUGCUGCCAUCUCCAUUCCUCUCUCUUUUCUUGCAAUCUGGGUGGAAAUUCUUUGAUAUGAACAUUUCAACCACCUUCACUCUCCCAUGUCCACUAUCAGCACAUUCAAAGUUAUCCAGCCAAGGCUGUCAUCUUUGGCCAGGGAUUUUUUAGGAAUCUAUUUUGCUGUGAUGCGGCUGGCACCCCUUUGACUCACUUUAUCACCCCAGGGUUCUUUUCAUUUUAGGAGCCCAAGAGGGCAGAAAAAGAAGUAGGCGAGCAAUUAAACCCUCUGAGUCAGGAGCGUCUCCCCUUGUGUUAAGCAAGGUUGUAGAAUAUCAUAUUUAGUAAGCUCCUAGCAGAUGAGCCACGUGGCUGCUGAGCACACAUGCCUGCUUGCUGCUGUGAGCUCAGACACCAUCAUCAUUAGUCUUUUCCAGCUCUGGAGGGAAUUAUAAGAACCACUUAAUAACCUGUAAAUCAUAGAGAGUUAAAUGUGUUUCCUCAAAACGCUGAUGACAGAAUGAAAGGUGAGGAGUGUUAGCCACAGGUCAAAAGUGCAGGAAAGUCUCCCAGUGUGGGUUGUUGAAGAAAUGUAGGUCUUUUUUCUUUUGGAAGUCUCACUAGAAUGGGGUCAAGGACUCUGCCGAUUCUAGGAUGAAAAACUGGGAUAUUAGACACCCUCAGAUGUUUAUCCCAAGUCUUCAUUUAGGGCUUUUAAUUAGUUUGUUCAACCAUCACAAUCUCAAAUGCUAAGCAGGGCAUUUGAAUCUCUCCACAGUCCAAAUCAGCACCGUCUUUUUAAAGUUAAGUUUCUCAUUAUUCUCACCUGAUAUAUCUUAUUUAUCCCACACACACCCAAUAACAUAUCGUGCUCACUAUUAUCUUUGAGACAACACUUGAAAUUUAUUCAAGCUGGAGUGCUCUUCACAUGUCUUGUCCAGAUCCAAUUUGGACUCAUUCUUCAGCCCUGCAUCAGUCAAUGGGAGCUAGGUUAAACUGUGGUGACAAACAACCUCCAAAUUUCAGUGGCUCAAAAAUCUUCUUCCUCAUUUAUGUACAUCUCAUCAUGGGUCAGGUGAGAGGUAGCUCUGUGCUGUGUCAUCCUAACACAGGAAUCCAGACGGAAGGAGGGGCCAUCAAUAAGAUCCCCAUUGCUAUAGAAAAGAGAAAAAAGCAUGCGGAAUAGAACUCUGUUUCUUGGAAAUUUCUCCUGAAAAAGUCACAUGUUAUUUUCUUCUCACCUCCAUUGGCAAA